AAGCAUUUGUAGGCGGUUUGGAAGUCUACGGUUAAAUUCCAGAGCUUAACUUUGGUUCAGCCGUAGAGUANUUCAAAGCUUGAGUAUGGUAGGGUAGAGGGAACUUCUCGUGGAGCGGUGAAAUGCACAGAGAUGAGAAGGAACACCAGUGGCGAAAGCGCUCUACUGGGCCAUGACUGACGCUGAGAGAUGACAGCUGAGGGAGCGAAUAGGAUUAGAUACCCUAGUAGUCUCAGCCGUAAACGAUGGAUACUAGAUGUUGCCACAAGCAGUGUCGAAGCUAACGCGUUAAGUAUCCCACCUGGGGAGUACGUACGCAAGUAUGAAACUCAAAGGAAUUGACGGGAAUUGACACAAGUGGUGGAUUAUGUGGUUUAAUUUGAUGCAACGCGGAGAACCUUACCAGGGAUUGACAUGGUGAGAAUCUUUCCGAAAGGGAAGAGUGCCCUUUGGGGAACUCACACACAGGUGGUGCAUGGCCGUCGUCAGCUCGUGCCGUGAGGUGUUUGGUUAAGUCCAAUAACGAGCGCAACCCUUGUUCGCUGUUAAAUGUCUGCGAAGACUGCCAGUGUAAACUGGAGGAAGGAAAGGAUGACGUCAAGUCAGCAUGCCCCUUACGUCCUGGGCUACACACGUAAUACAAUGGGUGAGACAAUCAGAAGCGAUCUCGCGAGAGCUAGCGAAUCUGUUAAACUCAUCCUCAGUUCGGAUUGUAGGCUGCAACUCGCCUACAUGAAGCCGGAAUCACUAGUAAUCGCCAGUCAGCUAUAUGGCGGUGAAUACGUUCCUCAAUUUUGUACACACCGCCCGUCACACCACGAAAGUAAUGAUUGCCCAAAGUCGUUACCUUAACCUUUUUGGAGGGGGACGCCUACGGCAGUCGU
rnacentral:rRNA from 1 species